ACAGCAUUAGUUUGAGUGAAUCUGCGAACUUCCUGCGUCUUCUAGAAGUACCUGCACAGCUACAGGUGGACGUUUCUGCUCACUUACCGCUUCUGUCUCUGCGCAGUUUUCCUCCAAGCGCGCACUGACAGCCAGAAGACUCCAAACUCCAAAAGGCGCAGCCGCUGCGCUCGGAGAUUCCCCACAUCCAGAGAUACACUGGAGGUCACUGAGCUCCACACAAGUUUUGUGCCCACAGCUGCACCACCCUCUCCACUGUCUUUUACUGAGUAUCAGAGCAGGAAGAGUUAC
rnacentral:lncRNA from 1 species